rnacentral:sRNA from 1 species
UUUUUAAUUGUUUUGUCUACAAUUUGAGUUUUUUGGGGGAAUUUGUGGAAAUAGUGGGAAGGAGCUGCUAAUGAAGACGGAAGAACUCCUAGCGUCUGG